rnacentral:rRNA from 1 species
ACCGGAAUUAAUACCGGAUAUGACCUCGGCCGACAUCGGCCGUGGUGGAAAGAUUUAUCGGCCAGGGAUGGGCUCGCGGCCUAUCAGCUAGUUGGUGGGGUAACGGCCUACCAAGGCGACGACGGGUAGCCGGCCUGAGAGGGCGACCGGCCACACUGGGACUGAGACACGGCCCAGACUCCUACGGGAGGCAGCAGUGGGGAAUAUUGCGCAAUGGGCGAAAGCCUGACGCAGCGACGCCGCGUGGGGGAUGAAGGCCUUCGGGUUGUAAACCCCUUUCGGCAGGGACGAAGCGAAAGUGACGGUACCUGCAGAAGAAGCGCCGGCUAACUACGUGCCAGCAGCCGCGGUAACACGUAGGGCGCAAGCGUUGUCCGGAAUCAUUGGGCGUAAAGAGCUCGUAGGCGGUCUGUUACGUCUGCUGUGAAAACUCGGGGCUUAACCCCGAGCUUGCAGUGGAUACGGGCA